GAAACCCUGCACUUACAAGCUGUGGAAGCACAUUUCUUGUGUGACCGCGUACUUUUUGUAGAACGGGCCAACGAGUUACGUUAAGUAGCAAGGUUAAGCACUUAAGGUGCGGAGCCGUAGCGAAAGCGAGUUUUAACUGAGCGUUCAGUUACUUGACGUAGACCCGAAACCGGGCGACCUACCCAUGAGCAGGAUGAAGCGAAAGUAAAAUUUCGUGGAGGUCCGAACCCACGAGCGUUGAAAAGCUCGGGGAUGACUUGUGGGUAGCGGUGAAAUUCCAAUCGAGCCCGGAGAUAGCUGGUUCUCCCCGAAAUAGCUUUAGGGCUAGCCUCAAGGUGAGAGAUACGGAGGUAGAGCACUGAAUGUCCUAGGGGGUAUUGCACCUACCGAAGACUAUCAAACUCCGAAUGCCGUCAUCUUAUACUUGGGAGUCAGACUGUGGGUGAUAAGAUUCAUAGUCGAAAGGGCAACAGCCCAGAUCGUCAGCUAAGGUCCCUAAAUGUAAGUUAAGUGGUAAAGGAUGUGGGAUUGCACAGACAACCAGGAUGUUGGCUUAGAAGCAGCCACUCAUUCAAAGAGUGCGUAAUAGCUCACUGGUCGAGUGAUCCUGCGCCGAAGAUUUCCGGGGCUAAAACUU
rnacentral:rRNA from 1 species